rnacentral:lncRNA from 1 species
GGAUAUAUAUAUAUGUGUGAUUGUUUAAUUAAAAUUUUCAUAAUUUAUGUACUAAAACCCCAGUUCCAAAUUGGAAUCAAACUGUAAUUUUUAGAUCUGGAUUGGAUUGGUUACAAGUUUUAGAUAGAUCAAAUUGGUUCAAAAAAUUCAAGAAUCGUAUGAUUUAGUUUGGUCCUUGGUUUUACUCAUAACUGAACUAAUCCGAUACGUGUACACUCCUAUAAGCAAAAGGGAAAGAGAGAGAAUUGGUCCUUGGUUUUACUCAUAACUGAACCAAUCCGAUACGCGUACACUCUUAUAAGCAAAAGGGAAAGAGAGAGAAGGCGCAAGAGAGACAACUCUCAGACGACAGACAUCGAUCAUCCACGCACAGUUAGGUUUCGGUAUAUCUGGUUUGAGGAUUUAGAUUAGAUUUCUAAAUGACUAACGGUUCGGUUCAAUUCGAUUCAAAAACGCAGUUCAAACUACAAAAACCGUGAACCGAACUCUUAGCUAUCAGUUCAAUUUAAUUGAACCACGAAUCAAACCGUACGAUUUAGUCGAUUUUGCGGUAUAGUCGGGUUUUUUCCUCACUCUUACAAUUGACGGGUUACAAACAGACCAUUAACAUUGUUAACAGCUUCGAUCCACCAAAAAUCACCUUCUUUUAUAUCAAUUGGAAAUCACAUCUGAAUCACAACUUCUUCUAUUUCUUUUGUGCCAAAUCGAAAACCACAUGAUUCAUCUGUGUCUGAAGCUCAUCCGCCAUAACUAAACCCAGUUUUUCACAAAAACAGACGAUAUCAUCUUAAUUACAGAACAUUAGCAAGCAACCACCGUUCAAGACCCACAAGAAAAUUUACCUAAGCAAAUAACCUACAAUAAGAUUCCGGCAAAGAAGCUUAAAAACCAUGGAAGCUAAUGAAGAGCAUUCACAUCGAGAGAUUAUUCAGUGCACUUAGAGUAUUGUUUUACAUUAUUUAAUGAAUGACAUAUUUACACAAGUUAAUCAUAACUUGAUCAAAAAAUAAUUAAUCUUAUUUUUUAGACCAAUUACUAAAAUGUUAGAGCACUACUAGCAUUUAAUCCAAAAAUACUGAAUAAUUUCUCAUAUACAUCCAAUCUGUUUUUAAGAUAAUUUAUCUAAUAGAAUUUAAAAAGUAUUCACAUUAGAUUAGCUAAACCAACUUACAAAUUUAAUAUUGUUACAGUUGUUUGUCAUUUUUUACUAGAUACUAUUCGUUAUGCAUCUACUUUUUUUUUUUACUUUCUAUAAUAGAGAUGUUGUUGGAGUAUUUAACUUUUAUAAAGUGAUUAACUAAAAUAAAAGUGUUGAUUUUUUGAGUUAUAAUUUUAUUUAAAUUUAGUGAGGUUGAUGUGGAUGCUCUAAUUUGGUGGUCGUUAAUUGACAAACGGAAGCUAGGACGCCUUAAUGGAACGGUAUCGUUUUCAAUGAUUUUCAGAGGAAACAUAAUUUCCAACUUUGAUUUUUCAUCGUGCGAUCUAGGAGUAAGAAAUUCCAAGAAAACCGAACCGACUGAAAAGUUAGUUUUACUUUGAUUUUAUGAUGUUGGUCUAUCGAUUCGGUUUUAAAUUUAUAAAAAUUAAUUUUUUUUGUGAGGCUCGGUUCUAUGGUCUCCCAAACCAUUGAAAAUCGAAUCUAACUGAAAUUUUAUUGUUAGCGGCUCAAAUCAUGAAAAUAGAGCGAUUAAUUAAUUUAUUUUUUCUAAUUUCAGUUGGUUUAUUAUAUUUUUUCUCUGAAAUAUGAUGAUUAAGUAAAAAUUUUUGAGAGGCCCAAAAUUUCAACAAAAAAAAAAACCAAAAAAAAUUAAAAAAAAAAAAUCAAAUUUCCUCUAACCAAAAUAUUCGAUUUUUUUACUAAUAUAUAAAUUUUGAUUUCACAAUUUUAUAAAUCAAAAUUUUUAUUCAGGAUUCAUAAUUUUUCUAAAAAUCAAAAUGACCAAACUAGUUACACCCCUAGUGCGUUCCCAGCAACACUAACUUUAGGGCUCAAGUGGAAGCUAUAAAUUUAGCAAAUCCAAACUCUUGCUAAACUUUUUUUUUUUGGUGCCAAGACCUAUACAUACAUUUGUUAUAUAUCGAAGAGUAAGAGAAGGGGGUUUUGGCGGGAUCAUUUCCCUCCAUAGCUUUUAGAGCGGAAAUCUCAUAAUAAAUGCCCCCAAGUUUAACACUCAUUUUGGACGGCAUCCAAUUAAGGGUUCAUUUAAAUACAAAUUUCAAAUGCCGAAGACUAAAUUUAUGCAAUUGAUACGUUGUGGACCAAAAUGGCAUGAUGCAAAUACAUUAAGGAUCAAAAUUGCUAAUAAGCCUUUAUAACUAAUUAUCAAGUGUGAUAAAUGAAUCAAAGUUACUCGAGUUUGACUCGUUAAAAACUUUUCAUUAGUUUUAUAAGUGGAGCUACAUGGUUCCGUGCAGAUUCAACUGACCCCACAAAAAAAUUAAAAACUUAUAUGGAUAUAUAUGAUAUUUUACUUAAAAUAUAGACAUUAAUACAUUUUGA